GCAAACUUGGUCAUUUAGAGGAAGUAAAAGUCGUAACAAGGUUUCCGUAGGUGAACCUGCGGAAGGAUCAUUAACGAAUCAAACAAGUUCAUCUUGUUCUGAUCCUGUGCACCUUAUGUAGUCCCAAAGCCUUCACGGGCGGCGGUUGACUACGUCUACCUCACACCUUAAAGUAUGUUAACGAAUGUAAUCAUGGUCUUGACAGACCCUAAAAAGUUAAUACAACUUUCGACAACGGAUCUCUUGGCUCUCGCAUCGAUGAAGAACGCAGC
rnacentral:misc_RNA from 1 species